rnacentral:pre_miRNA from 1 species
CAGCGCCUCUCCCUCCGCCCACUCGGCCGCCACGUGGCAGCCGAGUGGGGGCCUCGGGGCAGCGC